rnacentral:rRNA from 1 species
GAUGAACGCUGGCGGCGUGCCUAAUACAUGCAAGUCGAGCGAACAGACGAGGAGCUUGCUCCUCUGACGUUAGCGGCGGACGGGUGAGUAACACGUGGAUAACCUACCUAUAAGACUGGGAUAACUUCGGGAAACCGGAGCUAAUACCGGAUAAUAUAUUGAACCGCAUGGUUCAAUAGUGAAAGACGGUUUUGCUGUCACUUAUAGAUGGAUCCGCGCCGCAUUAGCUAGUUGGUAAGGUAACGGCUUACCAAGGCGACGAUGCGUAGCCGACCUGAGAGGGUGAGCGGCCACACUGGAACUGAGACACGGUCCAGACUCCUACGGGAGGAAGCAGUAGGGAAUCUUCCGCAAUGGGCGAAAGCCUGACGGAGCAACGCCGCGUGAGUGAUGAAGGUCUUCGGAUCGUAAAACUCUGUUAUUAGGGAAGAACAAAUGUGUAAGUAACUAUGCACGUCUUGACGGUACCUAAUCAGAAAGCCACGGCUAACUACGUG